GACGAACGCUGGCGGCGUGCUUAACACAUGCAAGUCGAGCGAGGCCCCUCCUUCGGGAGGGUGUCCUAGCGGCGAACGGGUGAGUAACACGUGGGCAACCUGCCCCCGGCUCUGGGAUAACUCCAAGAAAUUGGGGCUAAUACCGGAUAUGACCGCUGACCGCAUGGUCUGGUGGUGGAAAGAUUUAUCGGCUGGGGAUGGGCCCGCGGCCUAUCAGCUUGUUGGUGGGGUAGUGGCCUACCAAGGCGCCGACGGGUAGCCGGCCUGAGAGGGUGACCGGCCACACUGGGACUGAGACACGGCCCAGACUCCUACGUGAGGCAGCAGUGGGGAAUAUUGCGCAAUGGGCGGAAGCCUGACGCAGCGACGCCGCGUGGGGGAUGACGGCCUUCGGGUUGUAAACCUCUUUCAGCAGGGACGAAGCGAAAGUGACGGUACCUGCAGAAGAAGCACCGGCCAACUACGUGCCAGCAGCCGCCGUAA
rnacentral:rRNA from 1 species